GAUGAACGCUGGCGGCGUGCCUAAUACAUGCAAGUCGAGCGAACAGACGAGGAGCUUGCUCCUUCGACGUUAGCGGCGGACGGGUGAGUAACACGUAGGUAACCUCCCUAUCAGUCUGGGAUAACUUCGGGAAACCGGAGCUAAUACCGGAUAAUAUUUCGAACCGCAUGGUUCGAUAGUGAAAGAUGGCUUUGCUAUCACUUCUAGAUGGACCUGCGCCGUAUUAGCUAGUUGGUAAGGUAACGGCUUACCAAGGCAACGAUACGUAGCCGACCUGAGAGGGGGAUCGGCCACACGGGAACUGAGACGCGGUCCAGACUCCUACGGGAGGCAGCAGUAGGGAAUCUGCGGCAAUGGGCGAAAGCCUGACGGAGCAACGCCGCGUGAGUGAUGAAGGUCUUCGGAUCGUAAAACUCUGUUAUUAGGGAAGAACAAACGUGUAAGUAACUGUGCACGUCUUGACGGUACCUAAUCAGAAAGCCACGGCUAACUACGUG
rnacentral:rRNA from 1 species